CCUACGGGAGACAGCAGUGGGGAAUCUUGCACAAUGGGGGAAACCCUGAUGCAGCGACGCCGCGUGAAUGAAGAAGUAUUUCGGUAUGUAAACUUCUAUCAUCAGGGAAGAAAAUGCCGGUACCUGACUAAGAAGCCCCUGCCAACUACGUGCCAGCAGCCGCGGUAUUACUUAGUGGGCAAGCGUUAUCCGGAUUUACUGGGUGUAACGGGAGCGUAGGCGGUUUAGCAAGUCAGAAGUGAAAGCCGGGGGCUCAACUCCGGGACUGCAUUUGAAACUGUUGAACUAGAUUGCAGGAGAGGUAAGUGGAAUUCCUAGUGUAGCGGUGAAAUGCGCAGAUAUUAGGAGGAACACCAGGGGCGAAGGCGGCUUACUGGACUGUAAAUGACGCUGAGGCUCGAAAGCGUGGGGAGCAAACAGGAUUAGAUACCCCAGUAGUC
rnacentral:rRNA from 1 species